rnacentral:miRNA from 1 species
AUAUCUCCCGCAUCAUUCACA